rnacentral:rRNA from 1 species
UACAGGGGAGGCAAGCGUUGUUCGGAAUUACUGGGCGUAAAGGGCGCGUAGGCGGCCUGCUAAGUCGAACGUGAAAUCCCUGGGCUCAACCCAGGAACUGCGUCCAAGACUGGGAGGCUUGAAUCCGGGAGAGGGAUGCGGAAUUCCAGGUGUAGCGGUGAAAUGCGUAGAUAUCUGGAGGAACACCGGUGGCGAAGGCGGCAUCCUGGACCGGUAUUGACACUGAGGCGCGAAAGCCAGGGGAGCAAACGGG